CUGCAGGCCUCCAGCGGGUUCCCGCCUUCGCCGCCAGGUUCCAGAGGGUCCCCACCUUCGCCGCCAGGUUCCAGAGGGUCGCCGCCUUCGUCUUCACCUCAAGCCUCCAGAGGGUCCCAGCCUUCGUCUUCGGCGCCGGCCUCCUAUGACUCUCUGUCCCCCCUCUGCCAGUCAUCCCAUCGCUGGCUCCCUGUCCGGCUGCUGUAAUAUAAAUAUGUAGUGAAGAUAAACAUGUAUGUAAUGUAGGAAACAAUAAUGUAUUCAUGAGGUUAAAAAAACACUUUUGCCCAACCUUACCUGUACAAAUUGUUUUGACUCUGGUUAAGGACAUACUGUACUGCUGAUCUGAAUGUACUGAAUGUACUACUGUGUCACAAGCACCAGGAUCAACUUACAUAAUAGUGAAUAUGAUAUGUUUUGAGAAGUGACAGGUGGUAUUGUCAGUGCGGGUGAGAACAAUACAGGUGUACUGACGUUUUUGAUCAGGCUUUUCCAAAAGCCGUCUCACCAAUUGGACAUGAAUGCAAAGUGUCUAGGCAAUCUUGAUACUCAGGAUUUAAAUGAAAAUAUCAGUGUUUGUUUUACAGGUGUGUGUGUUGGCAAAUAGGACUAUUUAGGUUUCGGUGCAGUCUGUGUAUGUGCUGUUAGGCUUCGACCGUGACGCAUACCUGUCAGGACUCCCUAAAGACUUGGUAUUUCAGCCGGGGGUGUUGCUCUGUUUUGUGUCUGUUGGAAGCUCUCCUUUCCAGUGUUCACUCACUCACUCACUCCCUACAGUACUGGCUUUACAGAUUCCUCCCACCUAUUUUUUGGAUUUGUUUUGAUUAUUUUGUUGUGAAUAAAUUACUUUAUUAUUUAGUAUA